GUGGGGAAUAUUGGACAAUGGGCGCAAGCCUGAUCCAGCCAUGCCGCGUGAGUGAUGAAGGCCCUAGGGUUGUAAAGCUCUUUCACCGGUGAAGAUAAUGACGGUAACCGGAGAAGAAGCCCCGGCUAACUUCGUGCCAGCAGCCGCGGUAAUACGAAGGGGGCUAGCGUUGUUCGGAAUUACUGGGCGUAAAGCGCACGUAGGCGGGUAUUUAAGUCAGGGGUGAAAUCCCAGAGCUCAACUCUGGAACUGCCUUUGAUACUGGGUACCUAGAGUAUGGAAGAGGUAAGUGGAAUUCCGAGUGUAGAGGUGAAAUUCGUAGAUAUUCGGAGGAACACCAGUGGCGAAGGCGGCUUACUGGUCCAUUACUGACGCUGAGGUGCGAAAGCGUGGGGAGCAAACAGGAUUAGAAACCCCAGUAGUCC
rnacentral:rRNA from 1 species